GGACCAUCAUGUCGGUCAUGCCUUGGUAUGUACUGGUUUUAUUGGUUCUCCCUUCUGACGAACCAUGAUGUCAUUUAUUUGGUGUUGUGGGGAAUCAGGACUGUUACUUUGAAAAAAUUAGAGUGUUUAAAGCAGGCUCACGCUUGAAUACAUUAGCAUGGAAUAAUGAAAUAGGACGUUUGAUUCUAUUUUGUUGGUUUCUAGGAUCGAUGUA
rnacentral:rRNA from 1 species